rnacentral:misc_RNA from 1 species
AAGUCGUAACAAGGUAACCGUAGGUGAACCUGCGGUUGGAUCAUUAAAAAAAUCUUCAGAAAAAUGGUUUGCUACUCAUCACUGGGUGCACUCCUAUUUUUCUUAACCCCAACCUGUCCAAUAGUCUGUGUCUCAUGGACUAUUGUGUGCAUCUUAAUGUAACAAAAAAAAAUUACAAAUUGGCAAAGGGUCUCUCUCUCGUGGAGAGUACCUUUCGCUAAUUUGUUUCAUUUUUUUUACACUAUUAAACUUGCUAAUUACUAAAGGUCAUUACAAAUCUUGUCUUUUUUUUAUAAAGAAAAACAACUUUUGGCAACGGAUCUCUAGGCUCUU